rnacentral:rRNA from 1 species
CAGGGGGAUAACAGUCAGAAAUGGCUGCUAAUACCGCAUAAGCGCACAGAGCUGCAUGGCUCAGUGUGAAAAACUCCGGUGGUAUAAGAUGGACCCGCGUUGGAUUAGCUAGUUGGUGGGGUAACGGCCCACCAAGGCGACGAUCCAUAGCCGGCCUGAGAGGGUGAACGGCCACAUUGGGACUGAGACACGGCCCAGACUCCUACGGGAGGCAGCAGUGGGGAAUAUUGCACAAUGGGGGGAACCCUGAUGCAGCGACGCCGCGUGAAGGAAGAAGUAUCUCGGUAUGUAAACUUCUAUCAGCAGGGAAGAUAGUGACGGUACCUGACUAAGAAGCCCCGGCUAACUACGUGCCAGCAGCCGCGGUAAUACGUAGGGGGCAAGCGUUAUCCGGAUUUACUGGGUGUAAAGGGAGCGUAGACGGUGUGGCAAGUCUGAUGUGAAAGGCAUGGGCUCAACCUGUGGACUGCAUUGGAAACUGUCAUACUUGAGUGCCGGAGGGGUAAGCGGAAUCCCUAGUGUAGCGGUGAAAUGCGUAGAUAUUAGGAGGAACAC